rnacentral:rRNA from 1 species
GACGAACGCUGGCGGCGUGCUUAACACAUGCAAGUCGAACGGAAAGGCCCUGCUUUUUUGGGGUGCUCGAGUGGCGAACGGGUGAGUAACACGUGAGUAACCUGCCCUUGACUUUGGGAUAACUUCAGGAAGCUGGGGCUAAUACCGGAUAGCAGCUGCUGCUGCAUUGUGGGGGUUGGAAAGUUUCGGCGGGUGGGGAUGGACUCGCGGCUUAUCAGCUUGUUGGUGGGGUAGUGGCUUACCAAGGCUUUGACGGGUAGCCGGCAUGAGAGGGUGACCGGCCACAUUGGGACUGAGAUACGGCCCAGACUCUUACGGGAGGCAGCAGUGGGGAAUAUUGCACAAUGGGCGGAAGCCUGAUGCAGCAACGCCGCGUGCGGGAUGACGGCCUUCGGGUUGUAAACCGCUUUCGCCUGUGACGAAGCGUGAGUGACGGUAAUGGGUAAAGAAGCACCGGCUAACUACGUG